rnacentral:rRNA from 1 species
UAUGUGAUCGUCUCUCGCAUAUCAAUAAGCGGAGGAAAAGAAACUAACAAGGAUUCCCCUAGUAACGGCGAGUGAAGCGGGAAGAGCUCGAAUUUGAAAUCUUAAAGGGUUUCCCUUUACGAAUUGUAGUUUAAAGAAGUGUUUUCUGUUGAGGUUUUGGUAAAAGUUCUUUGGAAUAGGACAUCAUAGAGGGUGAGAAUCCCGUAUUUGACCUUUACUUUCAACUUUGUGAUACACUUUCAAAGAGUCGGAUUGUUUAGGAAUGCAGUCCAAAAUGGGUGGUAAAUUUCAUCUAAAGCUAAAUAUUGGCGAGAGACCGAUAGCGAACAAGUACCGUGAGGGAAAGAUGAAAAGAACUUUGAAAAGAGAGUUAAACAGUACGUGAAAUUGUCAAAAGGGAAGCGUUUGACACCAGUGUUGUUUUUCUGAAAAUCAAUUAAAGAACUGUUUAUGCUAAGCUGUUUAGACUUUAUCAGCUAAUCUGUUUAGUUUUGAGCUUUUCUUUAAUGCACUUUUCAGUUAACAAGUCAACAUCAAUUUCUUUUGCUGUAAAAAAGCUUGAGGAAGGUGGCUUGAGAUUCGUCUUAAGUGUUUAUAGCCUCUUGCCUAUGCAGUCGGAGAGAUUGAGGUCUGCAGCGUAGAUCCUUCGGGGCUAAAUGCAUUUGUGCUAAGUUAUAGCAUUUUAUAGACAACUUGUUGACUAUGAUUUGUCUUGUAGCUUACUCGCUUAUGUUAUUUUACCUACGCUUAGGAUGUUGAUCUACAGAGCGAGAGU